rnacentral:rRNA from 1 species
UAAGGAAUCUUCCGCAAUGGGCGAAAGCCUGACGGAGCAACGCCGCGUGCAGGAUGACGGCCUUCGGGUUGUAAACUGCUUUUAUAUGGGAAGAUUAUGACGGUACCAUAUGAAUAAGGACCGGCUAACUACGUGCCAGCAGCCGCGGUAAUACGUAGGGUCCAAGCGUUAUCCGGAAUCACUGGGCGUAAAGCGUGCGUAGGCGGGUAUUUAAGUGCAAUGCGAAAUCCUGGGGCUCAACCCCACGGACUGUAUUGCAUACUGGAUACCUAGAGGAGUGCAGAGGCAAGUGGAAUUACCGGUGUAGCAGUGAAAUGCGUAGAGAUCGGUAGGAACACCAAUGGCGAAGGCAGCUUGCUGGGCACCACCUGACGCUAAGGCACGAAAGCGUGGGGAGCGAACAG